CCUUCCAACCCCAGGCUCGAGAAGGCCUACGUGGCUCUGCAAGCAUGGAAGCACUCCAUCACCUCUGAUCCCAAGGGCUUCACCGAGAACUGGUGCGGCCCGCACGUGUGCAACUACACCGGCGUGUACUGCGCGCCCGCCCCCGACAACCCCCACGAGUUCACCGUCGCCGGCGUCGACCUCAACCACGGCGCCAUCGAGGGGACUCUCCCCGAAGAGCUCGGCCUCCUCGCCGACCUCGCCGUCUUCCACCUCAACUCCAACAAGUUCCACGGCGCCCUGCCUUCCUCCCUCGAGUGCUUGAAGCUGCUCUACGAGCUGGACGUCAGCAACAACCAGUUCGAGGGAUCGUUCCCCUCGGUCGUCUUCCAGCUGCCGUCGCUCAAGUUCCUCGACAUCCGCUACAACAGGUUCUGCGGCGACGUCCCGUCCUGCGUCUUCGACCUCAAGCUGGAUGCUCUGUUCAUCAACAACAACCAACUCACCUUCUCCAUACCGGACAACAUCGGCAACUCCCCGGUGUCGGUCCUUGUGCUGGCCAACAACCAGAUCACCGGGUGCUUCCCCAAGAGCAUAGCCAACAUGCACGAGACCCUGCGGGAGCUGGUGAUCCUGAACACCGGCCUCAGAGCAUGCAUACCGCCGGAGAUCGGGAG
rnacentral:lncRNA from 1 species